ensembl:lncRNA
UUUCUUCACUCCCACAUGGGGCGUCAGCUGAGAGUUAGCAGUCCAUGUGUGUCCUUUAAUACUGAUUAUUCAGUUAAAUGAGAAACCUGUAAGUGAUGACUGUUCAUUCUCAUUCUGAUCGGAUGAGCCCAUGAUGGUAAGAAGCUCCUGCUUCCUCUGAACCUCUUUAACAAUAAAGGAUGACAAAAUAUUAACUAACAGAAGAGAAACUUAGCAAGUACAGUGAGGGUCAGGAGCUGCUUCAUCUGGAGGUGAAUGUAAAUAAGAAGAAAAGGGCACACAGACAUCGAGAGAGAAGACAGAAGUUAAUGACACAAAUAGAUGGCAUAAAAACCCUAGGGGAGGGACAAGAGUUAACAGUGUGUACAGAGAUAUCAUCGGAUUGCAGUGCACCCCUGAGUCUGGUCAUGCUUUCCAUCUCAUCAAGCUCUUCUGCCCCCUGAAUGGCUAAUGUGUCAUCCCUCCGGUCCAGACAGGAACUCUGCUUUCUGAAUGUCAAGUGAAGUUAAAGCCCAAACAAAGUGAUUCCUUCACUAACAUCUACAGCCCGCAGAUAGAGCUUUGUUUACAUGAACCUCUUAAAGCAGAUAAAUAGCUGCUUUUACACCAUAAACAGAAUAAAUGUCUAGUAGUUCAUCUCGUUUUACUUGAACUUUCAUUCCCACUGGGUGGACAGACUCCCACUGCAGCUGCAGGACAGAUUUUGUAAAUAUUAACGAAUUCUGCACAAAUAGGAAAUGCCAAGU